rnacentral:rRNA from 1 species
CGCUGGCGGCGUGCUUAACACAUGCAAGUCGAACGAACCUUCGGGUUAGUGGCGGACGGGUGAGUAACGCGUGGGAAUCUGCCCUCAGGAGGGGGAUAACGACUGGAAACGGUCGCUAAUACCCCAUAUGCCGAGAGGUGAAAUGAAUUUCGCCUGAGGAUGAGCCCGCGUCUGAUUAGCUAGUUGGUGGGGUAAGAGCUCACCAAGGCGACGAUCAGUAGCUGGUCUGAGAGGAUGAUCAGCCACACUGGGACUGAGACACGGCCCAGACUCCUACGGGAGGCAGCAGUGGGGAAUUUUCCGCAAUGGGCGAAAGCCUGACGGAGCAACGCCGCGUGAGGGAUGAAGGCCUCUGGGCUGUAAACCUCUUUUCUCAAGGAAGAAGAUCUGACGGUACUUGAGGAAUAAGCCACGGCUAAUUCCGUGCCAGCAGCCGCGGUAAUACGGGAGUGGCAAGCGUUAUCCGGAAUCAUUGGGCGUAAAGCGUCCGCAGGUGGCUUUGUAAGUCUGCCGUUAAAGCGUGGAGCUUAACUCCAUUUCAGCGGUGGAAACUACAAGGCUUGAGUGUGGUAGGGGCAGAGGGAAUUCCCGGUGUAGCGGUGAAAUGCGUAGAUAUCGGGAAGAACACCAGUGGCGAAGGCGCUCUGCUGGGCCAUAACUGACACUCAUGGACGAAAGCCAGGGGAGCGAAAGGGAUUAGAUACCCCUGUAGUCCUGGCCGUAAACGAUGAACACUAGGCGUCGGGGGAAUCGACCCCCUCGGUGUCGUAGCCAACGCGUUAAGUGUUCCGCCUGGGGAGUACGCACGCAAGUGUGAAACUCAAAGGAAUUGACGGGGGCCCGCACAAGCGGUGGAGUAUGUGGUUUAAUUCGAUGCAACGCGAAGAACCUUACCAGGGUUUGACAUCCUGCGAACCCCUGAGAAAUCGGGGGGUGCCUUCGGGAACGCAGUGACAGGUGGUGCAUGGCUGUCGUCAGCUCGUGUCGUGAGAUGUUGGGUUAAGUCCCGCAACGAGCGCAACCCACGUCUUUAGUUGCCAGCAUUCAGUUGGGCACUCUAGAGAGACCGCCGGUGAUAAACCGGAGGAAGGUGUGGAUGACGUCAAGUCAUCAUGCCCCUUACAUCCUGGGCUACACACGUACUACAAUGCUACGGACAAAGGGCAGCGAACUCGCGAGAGCAAGCAAAUCCCAUAAACCGUGGCUCAGUUCAGAUCGUAGGCUGCAACUCGCCUACGUGAAGGAGGAAUCGCUAGUAAUCGCAGGUCAGCAUACUGCGGUGAAUACGUUCCCGGGCCUUGUACACACCGCCCGUCACACCAUGGAAGUUAGCCACGCCCGAAGUCGUUACUCCAACCCUUGUGGAGGAGGAUGCCGAAGGUGGGGCUGAUGACUGGGGUGAAGUCGUAACAAGAUA